rnacentral:miRNA from 1 species
CCGCGGCCGCUCGCCGCAGGCAGCAGCAGCAGCAGCAGCAGCAACAACAGCAACAGCAACAGCAGCCGUCGCCAUCG